rnacentral:tRNA from 1 species
AGUUAAAGCUUUUAUAGAAGCAUUUUAUUUACAUUAAAAGGAUUACUUAAUUUGUAUGACUUGAUU